rnacentral:rRNA from 1 species
GAUGAACGCUGGCGGCGCGCCUAACACAUGCAAGUCGAACGAUUAAAGCACCUUCGGGUGUGUAUAAAGUGGCGAACGGCUGAGUAACACGUGGGCAACCUGCCCCUCUCAUUGGGUUAGCCACGGGAAACCGUGGAUAAUACCGAAUACUUCGGGACUUCCGCAUGGAAGACUCGAGAAAGCUCCGGCGGAGAGGGAUGGGCCCGCGGCCUGUUAGCUUGUUGGUGGGGUAAUGGCCUACCAAGGCAAUGAUGGGUAGCUGGGUUGAGAGACCGACCAGCCAGAUUGGGACUGAGACACGGCCCAGACUCCUACGGGAGGCAGCAGUGGGGAAUCUUGCACAAUGGGCGAAAGCCUGAUGCAGCGACGCCGCGUGCGGGAUGAAGGCCUUCGGGUUGUAAACCGCUUUCAGCAGGGACGAGGCGAAAGUGACGGUACCCGCAGAAGAAGCCCCGGCUAACUACGUG